rnacentral:rRNA from 1 species
UACGUAGGGUGCGAGCGUUGUCCGGAAUUAUUGGGCGUAAAGGGCUCGUAGGCGGUUUGUCGCGUCGGGAGUGAAAUCCACUGGCUUAACUGGUGGCUUGCUUUCGAUACGGGCAGACUGGAGGUAUGCAGGGGAGAACGGAAUUCCUGGUGUAGCGGUGAAAUGCGCAGAUAUCGGGAGGAACACCAGCGGCGAAGGCGGCACUCUGGGCUGGUACUGACGCUGAGGAGCGAAAGCGAGGGUAGCAAACAGG